GGGGCAGCUAAUGAGGAUUAUAAGACAUCAAGUUCUUCCCUAUGUAUGGGUAGGAGGAACUCUUCUGUUUUUCUUCAGAGUUUGCAGAACUCGAUACUCAAAUUGCGACAUUUCAGGGUGAAACCUUGACGGAUGUUGUGCCAUGCCCUAGUGUUGGAGGUUCGGAUCAUGGGGAUGCUUAUCAUGUUAGUGCUGUCUCAGCACCUAAUCUACGGCGGCUGGCAAUUUUGGCAUGUUAAAACUUCAUUGAGGUAACUUUUGAAGCCUUACAAAGUUUUAUGCCUAUGGUCUGAUCACAGCAAGGACUAUAACCGCGAUGAUUAUGAGAAGGAUGAUUGUUGCUAUACACAUACAUUUGCGGGAGUUCUUCUGUAAUAUCUUUGCCUUGCUUAGAGCAUUAACUCCAGAGCUAACAAAGACACCAGCACGGUUAACCUGCACAAAAGACAUUGUAAUUGCACUGUUAUAAUUUCAUAAUCACUUGUAGAGAA